AUUGAACGCUGGCGGAAUGCUUUACACAUGCAAGUCGAACGGCAGCACGGACUUCGGUCUGGUGGCGAGUGGCGAACGGGUGAGUAACAUAUCGGAACGUAUCCAAUAAUGGGGGAUAACGAGUCGAAAGAUUCGCUAAUACCGCAUACGCCCUACGGGGGAAAGCUGGGGACCUUUGGGCCUGGCGUUAAUGGAGCGGCCAAUAUCUGAUUAGCUAGUUGGUGAGGUAAAGGCUCACCAAGGCGACGAUCAGUAGCUGGUCUGAGAGGACGACCAGCCACACUGGAAGUGAGACACGGUCCAGACUCCUACGGGAGGCAGCAGUGGGGAAUUUUGGACAAUGGGCGCAAGCCUGAUCCAGCCAUUCCGCGUGAGUGAAGAAGGCCUUCGGGUUGUAAAGCUCUUUCGCAAGGGAAGAAAACUUAGCCACUAACAUUGGUUGAGGUUGACGGUACCUUGAUAAGAAGCACCGGCUAACUACGUGCCAGCAGCCGCCGUAAGAC
rnacentral:rRNA from 1 species